AGAGUUUGAUCAUGGCUCAGAUUGAACGCUGGCGGAAUGCUUAACACAUGCAAGUCGAGGGGCAGCGGGGAAAAGCUUGCUUUUCCGCCGGCGACCGGCGCACGGGUGCGGAACGCGUAUGGAACCUGCCCCUGUCAGGGGAAUAGCCCAGGGAAACUUGGAUUAAUGCCCCAUGGUACCGUUAUAUCGCAUGAUAUUGCGGUUAAAGAUUUAUCGGACAGGGAUGGCCAUGCGUACCAUUAGUUAGUUGGUGAGGUAACGGCUCACCAAGGCAGCGAUGGUUAGGGGCCCUGAGAGGGGGAUCCCCCACACUGGUACUGAGACACGGACCAGACUCCUACGGGAGGCAGCAGUGAGGAAUAUUGGACAAUGGGCGGGAGCCUGAUCCAGCCAUGCCGCGUGCAGGAUGACGGCCCUAUGGGUUGUAAACUGCUUUUAUACGGGAAGAAACGCGCCCACGUGUGGGCGUUUGACGGUACCGUAAGAAUAAGGACCGGCUAACUCCGUGCCAGCCGCCGCGGUAAUUC
rnacentral:rRNA from 1 species